CAAUAUAAUAAUAAUAAUCAAACAGAACUGGUAUUUCAAGAAAACAGAAAUUGUGCAAAAAAAGAAUGGACAGCAAUAGCAAUAGGACAGAAAAUAGCAAGCACAAAGAUAAGCGAAAGAAAGCUAUGUAGCUGUAAAUCCCUAACAAGGGUCUUUCGCAAAUGCGCGAGUUCAAGUCUCUGAGUGCAUCUGAUGCGAAUCACAUUCAAAAAAGCAUCUGCAAACAAUUAUAAUGCAAUUUCAUUUACAUAUAUAUAUACACAUAAAUAUAUAUCCAAGUUAUAUAAUUGCAAUAAUUUA